UCUUGUUCUCUGCCAGAGCAGGAUGUAAGUGAUGUGCAAACACCAUAGCUGCUGUGACCAGCCUCUCUGGGAGAGUUAAGAGAGUGUUCCUGCCAUUCAAACUGCCAAAGCAAGAAGCUGCAAAUGAGAUUACGCUCUGACCAAAUCAUGCUGGAACAAGUACAACAGGAGAACCAGUGCCUGAAUCAGCAACUUGCCCAUCUGACGGCUGCAUUUAUGGCACUGCAGAAAAUGAUGAGAUGAUCCAGCAUUCUGAAAAAUUAAGAAAAACAAUUACAGAGACUUACACACAUACCUGAACAUGUUCCAACUUAGCAGCUAAUUAUUCACAGAAUAAUUGGCUGCUCAUUCACAUCCUAUGAGUUUCAGAGCCUUUUAACUAGAAAAUCUGGGAGUACUGGGAAAGGCCAAGCACCCCUCUAGCCCCGUGUCAGUAGUAAGUGCUUAGAGGAACGAUAUAAACACAGGACAGCAUUCAUCCAGGCUCACUCCUCACGUGCCCACGCUCACUGUGAUAAUGUAAGCCUCGACCAGCUGAAUUUUCAUCAUGUGAAGUGUGGGCAGCUCAUGGCCAAACUGUCUCAGCCCAUGAUUCCAUGCAAGGCCAAAGAAGAAUGGUACCUGAUGACUGUCUGGCUGCUGGUGCUUGGUCACACAGAAAUGCAGUAUUCUGAUGGAAGACCGUAUACUUCUCAUUUGAGAAACAACUGCCAGGGAAAGAAAGUACCUCUGAUGCAGCUGCAGUUGUGUCAUGGCAGCAUUCUUCCCUGUCACUCUAGUGCUGGCAGCCCCCACACCACCUCAGAUCCUCCUUUGGAGCCAUCCUAGCCCAGAUCCCUCCACUUCCUCAGUGAGCAGAAUCUGGCCAUUCCCAGUCCAAGACAACUUCUUGCAGACAGGCUCCCGCUCUGCCAGGCCUCUGUUCUUGCAGGUGCAGAUCUGGCUUUUCACUGAAGAUCCCCCACCUUCCAAAAAGGGAAGCAAGAAGAAAAUAGAAUCUGCGAUGCUCUCAUUCUGGUCUCUCUCUCCCCGCAGUGGGCUGUGCUACUGUGCACUGCACAGUCUGCCUGGCCGAGAGCAGCUGUGGCUGUCAUCUGCUAGCGUGGUGUCCAAAUUAAGACUGAUUGCAUUUCCAUCUACCCAGUUAUCUGCUGUCAGCCUCAAAUGUGGCGAGCAAUUGGCGAAGUUUUGGCCUGGAAUUAGCUGGUUUAACCUUGAAUAAACUGGCACUUCUCAAGGGGCAGCAACACAAUUGAAAUUGAUGGGAGGCUGGCAGUACAUUAGCUUCGUGGGCUGAAUUCUGGCAGAGGACCCAAAUACCUGCACAGUGUGCUUCCUUCAAGUACUGGAAAGCUGCAGUGAGGCUCUCCUGGAGCCUUCUCCAAGCUAAACCAGUCCAACUCCCUCAACCUUUCUUCAUAGAAGAGGUGCUCCAACCCUCUGAUCAUCUUAGUGGCCCUCAUCUGGACCAGUUCCAACAGCUCCACAUCCUUCUUGUGCGGGGUGCUCCAGGCCUGGAUGCAGUAAAACACAUGGGGCCUCACAAGGGCAGAGUAGAGGGGCACAAUCACCUACCUCGCCCUGCUGGCCAGACUUUGUAUUAAAAGAAUACCACAGUAUACAUCAAAUAGCAUAAAGUAAUGUGAAGAAAGACUGAGAGCAACCACACUGCUGACCAUUGGCAUGGAGCUAAUGCUCCACAGAGCAGAGAUGGAACCAGUGCGAGAUGUAACCAGUGUGCCUCCUUCCUACCUCCUUCCCCUUUAAGAGCCAUAUCAGCGUAUGAUUUUCACCACUGGCAGUGUGCAGCAUGGUGUACAUUACAGAAAACUUUGCAUCCUGUUCCAGCAGACCUUAUUAGCACUCCACAGAGAUAUGUGGAAAUAAUGACUGUUGUCAUCAACAAGCACUCUGUAUGCAGGAACGUGGCAGAGGAAAAACCCUUCAGUUCCCAGCUCCAUGAGUGGAGAAGGCAGAAGAAGGCGUACUCAGUCAACAGCGACCCUAUUGCUUCCACUACCACACCUGAAGACCUAGGAUCCUGAGUCUGAAAUGAAGCCCUCUUCUGUAGAUGUGUAGCCCCUCAGGUUUGAGUUGUUAGAGUCAAGCCCUCAGAUGAUGGAAGCUCACAAGACUUUGGUCUCCUCUGGCCAGCAGGCAUGACUUGCUUUACCCUCAGAUUUUUUGCUGAUCCCAGUAUGUCAGCCCUGUUUGUCAGUGACCGUAAAAAGAAUCAAGAACAUUAAACAUUAGGCAAUGCUCACCACAUUGCCUGAAUCCCUGGAAAGCAACAGCACACUGCAGUGAUGGGAGGGGAACAGAAAAAGGACAGCAAUGGAUUCUCUUGCUUAUGGAGAAGCGUUGGUGGUGGCACUGAGGCUUGGACCAGCUGCAGUGAAGACAAAGCCUGCUUCUCCCUGGUAUGUCCUGCCAACUGCCUCAUGAGGCUCUGCCAAGGGGUUCCUCAAUCCUGUCUGUGGGGAUGACUGAGAAGGGCCAGAAUGUCCCCGAUGGAUGCUGGGGUAAGGCGGAACAAGGGCAAGCAGCAGCAUCCCCCCAGGGCAGGUGAGAGACACAAGGGAGGCAGAAAUUCCAAAUCUAUCUCUUGAAGCCAAGGACAUGCUGCGAAGCAGAGGCAUGCCAGGCCAGGUGUGGCCUUUGCUACAGUGGAGACUGUGCAAAACCCACUCUGAGCUGGCAACUUGGAGAUGGCCUUAAGUAUGGCCCUGCCCUCCCUGUUGUAUGUCCAACAGA
rnacentral:lncRNA from 1 species